rnacentral:rRNA from 1 species
UUUUUGGCAUUGAGAGGAGCUCGCGGCCUAUCAGCUAGUUGGUGGGUAAUGGCCUACCAAGGCUUUGACGGGUAGCUGGUCUGAGAGGAUGGCCAGCCACAUUGGGACUGAGAUACGGCCCAGACUCCUACGGGAGGCAGCAGUGGGGAAUAUUGCGCAAUGGCCGAAAGGCUGACGCAGCGACGCCGCGUGGGGGAUGAAGCAUUUCGGUGUGUAAACCCCUGUUGCCCGGGACGAACAACUGGUUUUGACCAGUCUGACGGUACCGGGUGAGGAAGCACCGGCUAACUCCGUG